NNNNNNUUUGGCCCCAGCGUGCCCUCCCAGACCCCGAAAUGGAUCUUUUUGUCCCAAAACGAUGCUUUUUUUGUUUUAUUUUCCUGUGCUGAAAUGGCUCUUUCUGCCCCAAACGGAGCUCCGGCCCCAAGAUGGAGGACUGCGGUCCCGAGGCCGCAGCUUUGUUCCUAAAAACCCCAUUUCUUCCCCCGAAACGGGCUUCGUUUCCUCCAAAAUGCCCAUUUUUGGCGGGCCGUGACCCAAAACGACGUCUUUCGUCCCCAAAUAUUUCAUUUCCCGGCGCGGAAAGAGUGGAUUUUCCUCCCAAAAUGGAGGUGUGCAGCCCUAAGAUGGAGGAGCCCGGCCGCAGCUCAGCGCUCGCAGGGCGGAUUUCCCCCCCCCAUAAAGGAGCAGCUUUGUCAUUCAGACCCAAAAACGCCCUUUUUCACCCCAAAAUCCUGCAUUCGAGGCCAUCCUGCCCCAACAUCUGCUCUUCAAGCGCCGCCGACGUGGAUUUUGCUGCAGCACAAUGGGGUUUUUUUUUUCCACAUCUAUUUAUCAUUCCAGUCCCAAAACGUUGCCUUUUUACAGCCCCAAAAUGGGGAUUUUUCCCCCCAAACGAAGAUUUCAGCCACCAGAAUGGAGCUUUUCAGCCCCAAAAUGGAGCUUUUCAGCCCCAGAAUGGGAGCUUUGUUCGCUGCAGUGCCCCCCCCUCCCCCCCCGGAGCCAUCAUUCCGCUCCACCAUUGUUCGCAGCCCCAAAAUCCCACUUUUUCACACCAAAACCGGAGUUUCCCCCCUUCCUCCCUCUUUUUGUGUUGCCUAGAGAGUUCCAAAAAAGCCCUUUUCCGCCCCAAAACGCCUUUUUGUUCCAGAAUUUGUGAUUUUUUGGAAGCCGAGAGCGGUUUCUACCCCGUAGCCAACAUCUCAAACCUGGAAAUAACGUUUUUUUUUUUUUUUAAUUUUUGCCUUUUUUCACUUAAAUCUGCGAAUUUCAGAUCUGCACCAACCGCAGCCCCCCCAAAAAAAACCCAUUCAUUUGGGCUGAAAAAUCCCAAUAUAUAUAUAUAUUAUUUAAAAAUAACCCAAUAGGAACGAGCUUUUUUUUUUUUAACCCUUUCCUCCCCGCUCAGCCCUGAAAUCGCCGGUUUUCGGCCCAUUUUGAGCCCUGGGCGUGGCUGAGCCCCCCCCCCAAUGACCUUGGGGGUCCCCGGGGGCCCCUCCCCCACCCUUUGUUCCCCAGGCCCCUCCCCCUGGAGCUCAUUUUUUUG
rnacentral:lncRNA from 1 species